rnacentral:rRNA from 1 species
UGGGGAAUAUUGGACAAUGGGCGCAAGCCUGAUCCAGCAAUGCCGCGUGGAUGAAGAAGGUUUUCGGAUUGUAAAGUCCUUUCGGCGGGGACGAUGAUGACGGUACCCGCAGAAGAAGCCCCGGCUAACUUCGUGCCAGCAGCCGCGGUAAUACGAAGGGGGCUAGCGUUGCUCGGAAUGACUGGGCGUAAAGGGCGCGUAGGCGGAAUGCUUUGUCGGGCGUGAAAUUCCAGGGCUCAACCUUGGGGCUGCGUUCGAGACGGGUAUUCUUGAGUUCGGAAGAGGGUCGUGGAAUUCCCAGUGUAGAGGUGAAAUUCGUAGAUAUUGGGAAGAACACCGGUGGCGAAGGCGGCGACCUGGUCCGAGACUGACGCUGAGGCGCGAAAGCGUGGGGAGCAAACAGGAUUAGAUACCCCCGUAGUCC